rnacentral:lncRNA from 1 species
CCGGUUUUCGGUCUAGAAAUUUCAGGUUUAAAUAUGGAGGAGUGCAUUUCAUAUCAGGAACGAAUUUAGGAUUAAAAAUAGCACGUGACCAAAUUUGAAAUAUUAUUAAGUCGAAAUAAAUAAAAGCUAAAAUUUAACUAGAUUGUGUGUCCGCGACUCCGCUGCGGGACUGGAGCUAAACGGAGCAACCCCUUGAAUAAAUUUUACCGUGGAGGCCCAUAUGGGGCAUUACCCAGCCAGCCCAAUUAGCCCCAUUCUCUGUUGGGGCUGACAUGUAUCUCACUUUGACCGCCUCUUCUCUUUCAGCUCGCCCUUCUCCAUUUUUAUAGCGGCAAUCAUAUAUUCAUAUUCCCACACCAUGCUCUGAUUGAUCACUCUCUGCUGACCAUGCCCUCCCUCUCUCCUUUUGACAACCCACUCUUACUUCUGCUCGCUCAGUCAUGAUCUCCAUCUCCUGACUCAACUGCUCAUCCGGAAAAACUGCAACAGCCAUACUUCAGCAUGGCUCAUCAAUCUUACGAUCUGACCUUGAAACCAAUAAAAAGAAUGUCAAGGAAGCAUAUAUACAAAUUGACAUGACUCUUUUGGUUUUGCGAUCUGCAAUCAACGUAAAGGAGCGGUCACAAAAGAGAAGCAGCUUACCUAUACUAGAGUAAGACGGAUGCGCCGUGAACAGAGGCACGGUGGCUGGAGCCGAGAGCAAAACAGGGCAUAGAUGACUUGCUGAGAGAGUUCAGUGAACAACGAUGACUCCCGUAGCUGCCACGCGCUAGAUAGACGGAUCAAAUAAAUGCUUUUGUCGGCGGGACCACUCCAUUCACGGCCCUCCUCCCAACCUUACUGGAGAAGCUCCGCUGCAACGCCAUCGUCAAUGGAGGUAUAAAUUUUUUAUGAAGAGAUGCUAAAUGAAUAAAUUUUAUGUUCUUUUAUUCUGUAGUCGUUACCUUACCGUGAACCAUCGCUCACGGUAGGUUUAAUCGCCACUGAAGUAUAUAUUUCAAAGAUAAGGGUUAUAUGUAAAUAUAUCGAAAUGUAAGUGAUGUGGUAAUUUUAAAUAUUAAAUUGGUAUAUUGAAGAGACCAGUUGCUUUGCUUCAACUUUGAUAUGAUAAUACUCCCAGAAAUUCACACCACAUAACCAAAGUCAUUAUUUAGAUAGAUAUAGUGAAGUGGUAGAUACAAUACACCGACAAAGAUUGGUUUAAGAGGGAAUCAACGUACACAAUCAGUAAUUAGCUAGGGAACCAAAACAAGAAAACGUUGCCUCACGAUGGCAAACUCUUCUUUAUUUCACACUCCGAUCUUCACCUAC